UUAAGCGACUAAGCGUACACGGUGGAUGCCCUGGCAGUCAGAGGCGAUGAAGGACGUGCUAAUCUGCGAUAAGCGUCGGUAAGGUGAUAUGAACCGUUAUAACCGGCGAUUUCCGAAUGGGGAAACCCAGUGUGAUUCGUCACACUAUCAUUAACUGAAUCCAUAGGUUAAUGAGGCGAACCGGGGGAACUGAAACAUCUAAGUACCCCGAGGAAAAGAAAUCAACCGAGAUUCCCCCAGUAGCGGCGAGCGAACGGGGAGCAGUCCAGAGCCUGAAUCAGUGUGUGUGUUAGUGGAAGCGUCUGGAAAGGCGCGCGAUACAGGGUGACAGCCCCGUACACAAAAAUGCACAUGCUGUGAGCUCGAUGAGUAGGGCGGGACACGUGGUAUCCUGUCUGAAUAUGGGGGGACCAUCCUCCAAGGCUAAAUACUCCUGACUGACCGAUAGUGAACCAGUACCGUGAGGGAAAGGCGAAAAGAACCCCGGCGAGGGGAGUGAAAAAGAACCUGAAACCGUGUACGUACAAGCAGUGGGAGCACGCUUAGGCGUGUGACUGCGUACCUUUUGUAUAAUGGGUCAGCGACUUAUAUUCUGUAGCAAGGUUAACCGAAUAGGGGAGCCGAAGGGAAACCGAGUCUUAACUGGGCGUUAAGUUGCAGGGUAUAGACCCGAAACCCGGUGAUCUAGCCAUGGGCAGGUUGAAGGUUGGGUAACACUAACUGGAGGACCGAACCGACUAAUGUUGAAAAAUUAGCGGAUGACUUGUGGCUGGGGGUGAAAGGCCAAUCAAACCGGGAGAUAGCUGGUUCUCCCCGAAAGCUAUUUAGGUAGCGCCUCGUGAAUUCAUCUCCGGGGGUAGAGCACUGUUUCGGCAAGGGGGUCAUCCCGACUUACCAACCCGAUGCAAACUGCGAAUACCGGAGAAUGUUAUCACGGGAGACACACGGCGGGUGCUAACGUCUGUCGUGAAGAGGGAAACAACCCAGACCGCCAGCUAAGGUCCCAAAGUCAUGGUUAAGUGGGAAACGAUGUGGGAAGGCCCAGACAGCCAGGAUGUUGGCUUAGAAGCAGCCAUCAUUUAAAGAAAGCGUAAUAGCUCACUGGUCGAGUCGGCCUGCGCGGAAGAUGUAACGGGGCUAAACCAUGCACCGAAGCUGCGGCAGCGACGCUUAUGCGUUGUUGGGUAGGGGAGCGUUCUGUAAGCCUGUGAAGGUGUGCUGUGAGGCAUGCUGGAGGUAUCAGAAGUGCGAAUGCUGACAUAAGUAACGAUAAAGCGGGUGAAAAGCCCGCUCGCCGGAAGACCAAGGGUUCCUGUCCAACGUUAAUCGGGGCAGGGUGAGUCGACCCCUAAGGCGAGGCCGAAAGGCGUAGUCGAUGGGAAACAGGUUAAUAUUCCUGUACUUGGUGUUACUGCGAAGGGGGGACGGAGAAGGCUAUGUUGGCCGGGCGACGGUUGUCCCGGUUUAAGCGUGUAGGCUGGUUUUCCAGGCAAAUCCGGAAAAUCAAGGCUGAGGCGUGAUGACGAGGCACUACGGUGCUGAAGCAACAAAUGCCCUGCUUCCAGGAAAAGCCUCUAAGCAUCAGGUAACAUCAAAUCGUACCCCAAACCGACACAGGUGGUCAGGUAGAGAAUACCAAGGCGCUUGAGAGAACUCGGGUGAAGGAACUAGGCAAAAUGGUGCCGUAACUUCGGGAGAAGGCACGCUGAUAUGUAGGUGAAGUCCCUCGCGGAUGGAGCUGAAAUCAGUCGAAGAUACCAGCUGGCUGCAACUGUUUAUUAAAAACACAGCACUGUGCAAACACGAAAGUGGACGUAUACGGUGUGACGCCUGCCCGGUGCCGGAAGGUUAAUUGAUGGGGUCAGCGCAAGCGAAGCUCUUGAUCGAAGCCCCGGUAAACGGCGGCCGUAACUAUAACGGUCCUAAGGUAGCGAAAUUCCUUGUCGGGUAAGUUCCGACCUGCACGAAUGGCGUAAUGAUGGCCAGGCUGUCUCCACCCGAGACUCAGUGAAAUUGAACUCGCUGUGAAGAUGCAGUGUACCCGCGGCAAGACGGAAAGACCCCGUGAACCUUUACUAUAGCUUGACACUGAACAUUGAGCCUUGAUGUGUAGGAUAGGUGGGAGGCUUAGAAGUGUGGACGCCAGUCUGCAUGGAGCCGACCUUGAAAUACCACCCUUUAAUGUUUGAUGUUCUAACGUUGACCCGUAAUCCGGGUUGCGGACAGUGUCUGGUGGGUAGUUUGACUGGGGCGGUCUCCUCCUAAAGAGUAACGGAGGAGCACGAAGGUUGGCUAAUCCUGGUCGGACAUCAGGAGGUUAGUGCAAUGGCAUAAGCCAGCUUGACUGCGAGCGUGACGGCGCGAGCAGGUGCGAAAGCAGGUCAUAGUGAUCCGGUGGUUCUGAAUGGAAGGGCCAUCGCUCAACGGAUAAAAGGUACUCCGGGGAUAACAGGCUGAUACCGCCCAAGAGUUCAUAUCGACGGCGGUGUUUGGCACCUCGAUGUCGGCUCAUCACAUCCUGGGGCUGAAGUAGGUCCCAAGGGUAUGGCUGUUCGCCAUUUAAAGUGGUACGCGAGCUGGGUUUAGAACGUCGUGAGACAGUUCGGUCCCUAUCUGCCGUGGGCGCUGGAGAACUGAGGGGGGCUGCUCCUAGUACGAGAGGACCGGAGUGGACGCAUCACUGGUGUUCGGGUUGUCAUGCCAAUGGCACUGCCCGGUAGCUAAAUGCGGAAGAGAUAAGUGCUGAAAGCAUCUAAGCACGAAACUUGCCCCGAGAUGAGUUCUCCCUGACUCCUUGAGAGUCCUGAAGGAACGUUGAAGACGACGACGUUGAUAGGCCGGGUGUGUAAGCGCAGCGAUGCGUUGAGCUAACCGGUACUAAUGAACCGUGAGGCUUAACCUU
rnacentral:rRNA from 1 species